GAUUUAGGGUCGAGCCAUCUCUACGGAUACGGCGCCGCACAAUAAGCUGCUGCUGCUGCAGCCGCAACAGCCGGCAUCUCCAGUGUCUACACCUCACGUGCCCUAACCGACUCCUACCUAUCCGACCUGACCCUCCGGUACCUUUCCGAGUCGGACCCUUCGGCCUCCGCCACCGACGACCAUUGCAGAAGUAGCUCUAUGUAUCUGGCGACGUCGCAUUUGAUGUCCUAGUCUUCAUGGCCAGCUCCCGAUGUCGAGCCCGGCGUGAAACGCCCCUCUGAAGGUUCCACUUGUCGCUCCAAGUGAAUCCCUUCCUGAGAGACCUGGAGAGCCAGACCUGGAGAGCCACAUUAUCUAUCUAUCCAUGAUGUAGAUUUGCAUAUAUUCCAUUUCAUAAUUUUUAAACAGUUCCACUUGAAAACGGGGCAAUGUAAGUUUGGUGCAACCUGCAAAUUUCAUCACCCGAAAGAUAUCCUAAUACCAUCAGCCGAGCAAGAGAAUACAAUUGGAGAAACUGGGACAACUAUUCAGCCGGAGGGAACUGGACUUUCUGUGAAGCCUCCUGUUUCAUUCAGCCCUGCACUAUCAUUUAACUACAAGGAGCUUCCUGUAAGACCGGGUGAACCCGAUUGUCCAUUCUAUUUCUACCUAAUUGGAAGUUGCAAGUAUGGGGCCACUUGGGCACGACUUAAGAGAACAUGAAAAGGCUCUAUGGGACGAUCUUGUUGCUGCCUCCACCACGCACUCAGCGCCGUUGGCAAUACCUCCUUUGGUGAGGAGAAGGCCACGCAGAGAAGUUUGUAAUCGGUAAUGUGUAAUGUCCAAGUUUGUAAUCAGUAAUCUUACGACAUGAAUUCUUUAUAAAGUACUGUAACAUAAAAAAGGGCAUUCAUGUGAUCCACCAGUACUUGGCCUCUUUUCCUGUGCGUCAGGGCCUUCAUGCGAUCUGAUAAUCAACUUGAGUUGAAAUUUAUUGAGAAAAUUCUCAGUGCAGUCUGUACCCCAAAGCAGACCAAUGCCUCUUUAUAUUUGGAGAAAGACCAGGAGUCAUUAAGGGAUCCGACCACAUCAUGUCACCAGGAACCAAGUUGGGACCUCCUCAUGGAGCAUCAAGAAAGGUCCCAACUUGAUUCUUGGUGACGUGAUGUGGUUGGAUCCUCAAUGAAUCCUGAUCUUUCUUCAAAUAUAGAGAGACAUUGGUCUGAUUUGGGGUCCUGACUGCACUGAGAAUUUUCUCAAUAAAUUUAAACUCAAGUUGAUUAUUAAAUCGCAUGAAGGCCCUGAUGCACGGGAAGAGAGACAUUACUGAUUACAAAAUUCUUUGUUAGCGGGAUGCGAUUUGUGAGGCUGUACCCUUACUCUUUGUUUGGAUGAAGGAACUAAAAAUUACAUAUUAUUGUAAAAUGAUGGAA